GGACUGUAACUCAGUGGUAGAGCACAUGCCCUGCAUGUAGAAAUCUCAGGUUCGAUCCCUGACAUCCA